rnacentral:rRNA from 1 species
UACGGAGGGUGCAAGCGUUAUCCGGAUUCACUGGGUUUAAAGGGUGCGUAGGCGGGCAGGUAAGUCAGUGGUGAAAGCCCGGAGCUCAACUCCGGAACUGCCAUUGAUACUGCUUAACUUGAAUCAACUCGAGGUGGAUGGAAUAUUACAUGUAGCGGUGAAAUGCUUAGAUAUGUAAUAGAACACCGAUUGCGAAGGCAGUUCACUAAGGUUGUAUUGACACUGAGGCACGAAAGCGUGGGGAUCAAACAGG